rnacentral:rRNA from 1 species
UGGGGAAUAUUGCACAAUGGGCGCAAGCCUGAUGCAGCCAUGCCGCGGGUAUGAAGAAGGCCUUCGGGUUGUAAAGUACUUUCAGUCGGGAGGAAGGUGUCAAGGUUAAUAACCUUGGCAAUUGACGUUACCGACAGAAGAAGCACCGGCUAACUCCGUGCCAGCAGCCGCGGUAAUACGGAGGGUGCAAGCGUUAAUCGGAAUUACUGGGCGGAAAGCGCACGCAGGCGGUUGAUUGAGUCAGAUGUGAAAUCCCCGGGCUUAACCCGGGAAUUGCAUCUGAUACUGGUCAGCUAGAGUCGUGUAGAGGGGGGUAGAAUUCCAUGUGUAGCGGUGAAAUGCGUAGAGAUGUGGAGGAAUACCGGUGGCGAAGGCGGCCCCCUGGACAAAGACUGACGCUCAGGUGCGAAAGCGUGGGGAGCAAACAGG